AGUGAACGCUGGCGGUAGGCCUAACACAUGCAAGUCGAGCGGCAGCACAGUAAGAGCUUGCUCUUACGGGUGGCGAGUGGCGGACGGGUGAGGAAUACAUCGGAAUCUACUUUUUCGUGGGGGAUAACGUAGGGAAACUUACGCUAAUACCGCAUACGACCUACGGGUGAAAGCAGGGGAUCUUCGGACCUUGCGCGAUUGAAUGAGCCGAUGUCGGAUUAGCUAGUUGGCGGGGUAAAGGCCCACCAAGGCGACGAUCCGUAGCUGGUCUGAGAGGAUGAUCAGCCACACUGGAACUGAGACACGGUCCAGACUCCUACGGGAGGCAGCAGUGGGGAAUAUUGGACAAUGGGCGCAAGCCUGAUCCAGCCAUGCCGCGUGGGUGAAGAAGGCCUUCGGGUUGUAAGGCCCUUUUGUUGGGAAAGAAAAGCAGCAGGUUAAUACCCCGCUGUUCUGACGGUACCCAAAGAAUAAGCACCGGCUAACUUCGUG
rnacentral:rRNA from 1 species